rnacentral:rRNA from 1 species
UGCAUAUCCAAAAAGCGGAGGAAAAGAAACUAACAAGGAUUCCCCUAGUAGCGGCGAGCGAGCGGGAAGAGCUCAAAUUUGUAAUCUGGCACCUUCGGUGUCCGAGUUGUAAUCUCUAGAAGUGUUUUCCGCGUUGGACCGCACACAAGUCUGUUGGAAUACAGCGGCAUAGUGGUGAUACCCCAUUACACGGUGCGGACGCCCAGCGCUUUGUGAUACACUUUCGACGAGUCGAGUUGUUUGGGAAUGCAGCUCAAAUUGGGUGGUAAAUUCCAUCUAAAGCUAAAUAUUGGCGAGAGACCGAUAGCGAACAAGUACCGUGAGGGAAAGAUGAAAAGCACUUUGGAAAGAGAGUUAAAAGUACGUGAAAUUGUUGGAAGGGAAACGCUUGAAGUCAGACUUGCUUGCCGGGCUUGCUCGGUUUGCAGGCCAGCAUCAGUUUUCUGGGACGGAUAAUGGCAGUUAGAAUGUAGCAGUCUCGGCUGUGUUAUAGCUUUCUGCUGGAUACGUCCUGGGGGACUGAGGAACGCAGCGUGCCGUAUGGCGAGGGCUUCGGUCCUUUCACGCUUAGGAUGCUGGUGGAAUGGCUUUAAACGACCCGUCUUGAACCACGGACCA